UGAAAAUUGAAUUAUAUUUGCAACGAAAUUAAAUAUCUGUCUUAAAUAAUCAAAUCACGACACGAUUUAAUUUACAAUUUCACAGUGUCUCAUCAGAUAUGUUUCCCCUGGAAACCGCUUAUUGCGUAAUGUUUACAUACGCACAAAUAAUUGAAUUUCGAUAACAAGACAAAUUUAAAUAGAGAUUGACAUUAUUCAUUUUAAUAUUUUCUGUAUACAAUGAUAAUGAACUAGGUAUAUAUAUAUAUAUAUAUACAUAUCAUUUUCGUUAAAUUUAUAACUAAACCGUCUAGGGAAAUAUAGGUUAUUUAAUCUUAGGAUGGUAGCUUCAAAAUCAGGUUUUUAAUUUAAAAAUAUAUUAAACAUUAAAUAAAAAAUACUAUUUUAUUACAUUUUUAUUAUUUUUAAUUUAUUCUUUUAAAAUAUUUUUUUAAAAUAAAAAAUAUAUUUAAUAUAUAUACAUGUAAUAUUAAUAAAAAAUGUAUUAAAAAAAAGAAAAAUUAAAAACACGUUAUAAUGAUAUAUAAUUUAAGAAUAAGUAAUAAAUAAAGAAUAAAUAAAAUUUAGAAUUU